rnacentral:rRNA from 1 species
UCAGGCUUACACAUGCAAGUCGAGGGGCAGCAUGGUCUUAGCUUGCUAAGGCCGAUGGCGACCGGCGCACGGGUGAGUAACACGUAUCCAACCUGCCGUCUACUCUUGGACAGCCUUCUGAAAGGAAGAUUAAUACAAGAUGGCAUCAUGAGUCCGCAUGUUCACAUGAUUAAAGGUAUUCCGGUAGACGAUGGGGAUGCGUUCCAUUAGAUAGUAGGCGGGGUAACGGCCCACCUAGUCUUCGAUGGAUAGGGGUUCUGAGAGGAAGGUCCCCCACAUUGGAACUGAGACACGGUCCAAACUCCUACGGGAGGCAGCAGUGAGGAAUAUUGGUCAAUGGGCGAGAGCCUGAACCAGCCAAGUAGCGUGAAGGAUGACUGCCCUAUGGGUUGUAAACUUCUUUUAUAAAGGAAUAAAGUCGGGUAUGGAUACCCGUUUGCAUGUACUUUAUGAAUAAGGAUCGGCUAACUCCGUGCCAGCAGCCGCGGUAAUACGGAGGAUCCGAGCGUUAUCCGGAUUUAUUGGGUUUAAAGGGAGCGUAGAUGGAUGUUUAAGUCAGUUGUGAAAGUUUGCGGCUCAACCGUAAAAUUGCAGUUGAUACUGGAUAUCUUGAGUGCAGUUGAGGCAGGCGGAAUUCGUGGUGUAGCGGUGAAAUGCUUAGAUAUCACGAAGAACUCCGAUUGCGAAGGCAGCCUGCUAAGCUGCAACUGACAUUGAGGCUCGAAAGUGUGG